rnacentral:rRNA from 1 species
GAUGAACGCUGGCGGCGUGCCUAAUACAUGCAAGUCGAGCGAACAGAUAAGGAGCUUGCUCCUUUGACGUUAGCGGCGGACGGGUGAGUAACACGUGGGUAACCUACCUAUAAGACUGGGAUAACUUCGGGAAACCGGAGCUAAUACCGGAUAACAUUUGGAACCGCAUGGUUCUAUAGUGAAAGAUGGUUUUGCUAUCACUUAUAGAUGGACCCGCGCCGUAUUAGCUAGUUGGUAAGGUAACGGCUUACCAAGGCGACGAUACGUAGCCGACCUGAGAGGGUGAUCGGCCACACUGGAACUGAGACACGGUCCAGACUCCUACGGGAGGCAGCAGUAGGGAAUCUUCCGCAAUAGGCGAAAGCCUGACGGAGCAACGCCGCGUGAGUGAUGAAGGGUUUCGGCUCGUAAAACUCUGUUAUUAGGGAAGAACAAAUGUGUAAGUAACUGUGCACGUCUUGACGGUACCUAAUCAGAAAGCCACGGCUAACUACGUG